rnacentral:rRNA from 1 species
CCCUUAGAUGUCCUGGGCCGCACGCGUGCUACACUGAUGCAUACAGCGAGUACUUUCCAGCUCCGCGAGGCAGCUGGUAAUCAGCAAUAUGCAUCGUGCUGGGGAUAGAUCUUUGGAGUUAUAGAUCUUGAACGAGGAAUUCCUAGUAAGCGCAAGUCAUUAGCUUGCGCUGAUUAAGUCCCUGCCCUUUGUACACACCGCCCGUCGCUCCUACCGAUUUCGAGUGAUUCGGUGAACCUUUUGGACAGCGUCUGUCCUCGUGUCAGAUGCUGAAAGUCAAGUAAACCAUAUCACUUAGAGGAAGGAGAAGUCGUAACA